rnacentral:misc_RNA from 1 species
UUUUGAUUGAAAUGUCCUCCGGAAGAACCAAUAACAGGUAAGAGACAUGGUAUUAGCAAUUUCCUCUUGCAAAACCCUAACAGCUUAACCCUUUCAGCUGCCGCACCACUUCGUGGUGUUCACGAUUGCGUUCUCACCCCUUUGAAGCCAUCACCGUCGUUUAGAUUGAACUGAAGUAGUGUUCACCGACCCAAAAAAGUAUCCUUUUUAAGGAGCUCGAUUGGAGUCCCCAUAAAUUGAGUUUCAGUUUCUGCACAAAUGAAGAAGAAAACCCAAAAUCUUGUUAAUAAGUCCAAUCUGGAUAUUGAUCUUAAAUAUUUCAUCCAUGAAAGUUCUCUGUUCUUUGACAAGUUGAUUGAGCUCAUCCCUGCUAAGUUCUAUCUUCCAACUGAUGAUAAGGAGAAGAAAUGGUUCCAAGGCCUUAGCAAGGAUGAAAAAGCUUUGGCAAAGAAGGAAUCAAGAGAAAACAUCAAGAAAGCACGGAGAGAGAGGCUAGAUCCACAGAAGUCUUCUACAACUACCCUAGAUUUGCUAAUGAAAAAUUUGGAUAAGGAAAAAGAAAAUGAUGAGAGUGAUGAAGAAGAGGUGGAGAUUAAUCCAAUGAUAUCUGGUCUGGAAGGUGAUGAUCAAUCAGCAACAUAUGAGGAACUCCGGCAACGACUUCAUCGCAAAAUUGAAGAGCUACGAGGAGGUCGAAACAGUAGUGGCUCAAACAAAGUGAAGAAGAAAAAUGAGACAAAAGGAAUUCAGCAAAAGAAACGCAAGAGGGAAUCAGAAUCUGAACAAAAGAAACCCACAAUGAGUACUACAGUGGAAAAAGUCGAGAAGGAUGUAGCUGAGGCUACAAAGGAACUUAAAUUUAGUCAUGUUAAACUUGGGAAUGAAGAAGAGCUUGGAAAGAAGAAGAAGAGGAAAGUUUUGAAGUUGAAGGAACUUGAAAAGGCAAAAAAAUUGGAGGAAGCUAAGAAGGACCCAGAGAAAGGGGACAUUAUCACAAAGAAGCAAUCGUGGAAAGCAGCAACAAGCAGAGCUGCAGGCAUUAAGAUUCAUGAUGAUCCGAAGCUGUUGAAACAGAGCAUAAAGAAGGAGAAGAAGAGGCAUCAAAAGAAUGUUGAGAAAUGGAAGGAGAGGGUUGAAACCCAGCAGAAAAUGAAAGCGGAAAAACAGCAGGCGAGAUCAAAGAAUAUAGCUGAUAGAAUUCACCAGAAAAAGAUGCGGCGGAUUGCAAAGAGAGAGAAAAAGCUGAUGCGGCCAGGGUUUGAAGGUCGGAAGGAAGGUUACAUUAAUGAAGGUACAACUGAAGGUGCCCCAUCUUAGAAGUUUGUAUUGGCAUCUUAAUCUGUCCCCUGUUUUUUCCACACUUGCAAUAGAAUUGGCAUUAGGAACCUGUUCUAAAAGUGUGUUUCCCUCCUUUAAAUCGUAUUAUUUAGUAUUUUUGGUUGCAAUUAUAUUUGAUGGGCUUCAGUGUACUGUCACACCAGAAUGAACAUGUAACAUCGUCAUUUUUUUUACACCUUUCAUAUGUUUCUCUUGUUUAAAGAUUCUAGUGUCAAUUGAUGCCUCUAUUUCACAUUA